rnacentral:rRNA from 1 species
UGGGGAAUUUUGGACAAUGGGGGCAACCCUGAUCCAGCAAUGCCGCGUGUGUGAAGAAGGCCUUCGGGUUGUAAAGCACUUUUGUCCGGAAAGAAAACACGUGCCCUAAUACGGUGUGUGGAUGACGGUACCGGAAGAAUAAGCACCGGCUAACUACGUGCCAGCAGCCGCGGUAAUACGUAGGGUGCGAGCGUUAAUCGGAAUUACUGGGCGUAAAGCGUGCGCAGGCGGUUUGCUAAGACCGAUGUGAAAUCCCCGGGCUUAACCUGGGAACUGCAUUGGUGACUGGCAGGCUAGAGUAUGGCAGAGGGGGGUAGAAUUCCACGUGUAGCAGUGAAAUGCGUAGAGAUGUGGAGGAAUACCGAUGGCGAAGGCAGCCCCCUGGGCCAAUACUGACGCUCAUGCACGAAAGCGUGGGGAGCAAACAGGAUUAGAUACCCUGGUAGUCCACGCCCUAAACGAUGUCAACUAGUUGUUGGGGAUUCAUUUCCUUAGUAACGUAGCUAACGCGUGAAGUUGACCGCCUGGGGAGUACGGUCGCAAGAUUAA